rnacentral:rRNA from 1 species
AUUGAACGCUAGCGGGAUGCUUUACACAUGCAAGUCGAACGAGUGGCGGACGGGUGAGUAAUAUAUCGGAACGUGCCCAGUAGCGGGGGAUAACUACUCGAAAAGUGGCUAAUACCGCAUACUAUUGGAACGGACGAUAUCGGAUUAGCUAGUUGGUGGGGUAAAGGCGCACCAAGGCAACGAUCCGUAGCUGGUUUGAGAGGAUGACCAGCCACAAUGUGACUGAGACACGGCCCAGACUCCUACGGGAGGCAGCAGUGGGGAAUUUUGGACAAUGGGGGAAACCCUGAUCCAGCCAUCCCGCGUGUAUGAUGAAGGCCUUCGGGGUGUAAAGUACUUUCAGCGGGGAGGCGUUACCCGCAGAAGAAGCACCGGCUAACUCCGUGCCAGCAGCCGCGGUAAUUC